rnacentral:rRNA from 1 species
AUUGAACGCUGGCGGCAUGCCUUACACAUGCAAGUCGAACGGCAGCACGGGGCAACCUGGUGGCGAGUGGCGAACGGGUGAGUAAUGCAUCGGAACGUACCUUUCAGUGGGGGAUAACGUAGCGAAAGUUACGCUAAUACCGCAUAUUCUGUGAGCAGGAAAGCAGGGGAUCGCAAGACCUUGAGCUGAUUGAGCGGCCGAUGUCAGAUUAGCUAGUUGGUGAGGUAAAGGCUCACCAAGGCGACGAUCUGUAGCGGGUCUGAGAGGAUGAUCCGCCACACUGGAACUGAGACACGGUCCAGACUCCUACGGGAGGCAGCAGUGGGGAAUUUUGGACAAUGGGGGCAACCCUGAUCCAGCCAUGCCGCGUGAGUGAAGAAGGCCUUCGGGUUGUAAAGCUCUUUCGGCCGGGAAGAAAUCGCUCGGGCUAAUACCCUGUGUGGAUGACGGUACCGGAAUAAGAAGCACCGGCUAACUACGUGCCAGCCGCCGCAGUAACAC